UUCUCAUUUCCAAUAGCGGGAGAAAAAGAAACCAACCAGGGAUUGCCCCCAGUACCGGGGAGUGACGCGGCAAAAGCUCAGAUUGGGAAUCGCUUGGCGGAGUUGUGAAUUGCAGGUUGGCGCCUCUGCGGCGGCGGCGGUCCCAAGUCCCUUGGAACAGGGCGCCAUUGAGGGUGAGAGCCCCGGUGGGACCGUUUGCCUACGCUCUGAGGCCCUUCUGACGAGUCGAGUUGUUUGGGAAUGCAGCUCUAAGCGGGUGGUAAAUUCCAUCUAAGGCUAAAUACUGGCGAGAGACCGAUAGCGAACAAGUACUGUGAAGGAAAGAUGAAAAGCACUUUGAAAAGAGAGUGAAACAGCACGUGAAAUUGUUGAAAGGGAAGGGUAUUGCGCCCGACAUGGAGCGUGCGCACCGCUGCCCCUCGUGGGCGGCGCUCUGGGCGUGCUCUGGGCCAGCAUCGGUUUUUGCCGCGGGAGAAGGGCGGCGGGCAUGUAGCUCUUCGGAGUGUUAUAGCCUGCCGCCGGCGCCGCGAGCGGGACUUGAGGACUGCGACGGGUCAAGAUCAACGCGAAGCGGUC
rnacentral:rRNA from 1 species